rnacentral:rRNA from 1 species
UACGUAGGGUGCGAGCGUUAAUCGGAAUUACUGGGCGUAAAGCGUGCGCAGGCGGUUUUGUAAGCCAGGUGUGAAAUCCCCGGGCUCAACCUGGGAAUGGCAUUUGGGACUGCAAGGCUGGAGUGCGGCAGAGGAGACUGGAAUUCCUGGUGUAGCAGUGAAAUGCGUAGAUAUCAGGAGGAACACCGAUGGCGAAGGCAGGUCUCUGGGCUGACACUGACGCUCAUGCACGAAAGCGUGGGGAGCAACAGG